rnacentral:rRNA from 1 species
CCUACGGGUGGCUGCAGUGGGGAAUAUUGCACAAUGGGCGCAAGCCUGAUGCAGCCAUGCCGCGUGUGUGAAGAAGGCCUUCGGGUUGUAAAGCACUUUCAGCGGGGAGGAAGGCGUUAAGGUUAAUAACCUUGUCGAUUGACGUUACCCGCAGAAGAAGCACCGGCUAACUCCGUGCCAGCAGCCGCGGUAAUACGGAGGGUGCAAGCGUUAAUCGGAAUUACUGGGCGUAAAGCGCACGCAGGCGGUCUGUCAAGUCGGAUGUGAAAUCCCCGGGCUCAACCUGGGAACUGCAUUCGAAACUGGCAGGCUGGAGUCUUGUAGAGGGGGGUAGAAUUCCAGGUGUAGCGGUGAAAUGCGUAGAGAUCUGGAGGAAUACCGGUGGCGAAGGCGGCCCCCUGGACAAAGACUGACGCUCAGGUGCGAAAGCGUGGGGAGCAAACAGGAUUAGAUACCCUUGUAGUC